GUUGUAUGUGAGUAUCUAACUUGAUGCAUAUAUUCCUACUAAAAUUUUUUUUUCUAAAGAUGGAAGAGCUUAUUGUCUUUCGUUGUGUUAAUUAAACUAUUAUUUCAGACAAGAAAUAAAAGGAAAAGCAAAAGGCAAAAAAAAAAAAAAAAAAAAAAAAGGCAUGUUAGAGUGCACUUACUGUAGCAGUAGUAGCCAGCAAAUAGGUAGAUGCAAUCAAUAAUGGAGGUCAGGAAGAGGAAGAGGAAGAGGAAGAGGGAGGGAGAGAGAAAGAAAGAUAGAUAAAGAAG